GUUGAAAAAGUAGUUAUGAAUAAAUACUAUAUUGUAACAGAAUUAAAAAAAAAAAUUGAAGUGUGGUAAAUAUGCAUUGCAAUUUGGGUGAGUAAAUGGUGUGGAGAUGGAUGCACAAACAAAAGAUGGAGUCGGCUCUCAUCGUCGCCUUUUGUCGUCGUCCGACAAGCCGUCAAGGCGUCAACCAUUUAGACAGAUGAUUCAGCCGAUUUCCAUGACCCCUGCCACCUUAAUUACCACUACACUCUCCUUCCCUUUCACAUUAUUCUUCUUUUGUUUUCUAUAUAUUUAUAAUACACGCACACAUUACCUCAAACUCUAACAUCUAUCUUAGCUAGCUUCAUGCUAAUAUAUAUUUUUAUCUCUUCCUUAUUAUUUACUUCCAUAUCUAUAUACUCAACUGAUACAAUUUUACAUCGACUCCACAUAAAAUCUCAGCCCAUCUAUCAAAUGAGUCAUAUAAGUUAAGGUAAUUUUUUAUUAAUUGGUCAGAUCGGGUCGAUGACUACCCGGCGCCAAGAAAGGACCAGUUCGAUCUAUCUGAUGUCUACACCAGAGUUGAAGAAAUAAGCCCAGGUUUAAUUUCCAACCUUGGCUGGAAAGUCAAUUCAAAAGCUGCAGCUAAGCUGGAACUGGUUAUGAGGAAACAACAACGUAGCCAGCUGCAAAUUAAAGGGAAUUGAAUUGAAGUGGUUGUUGUUGAUGAUGAAGAUUGGGUUGAGGAGAUUGGUGGUAUAAGGCGGGGGCGGGUGCAUAUGUGGUGGUGUUAUUGCAGCAACCAAUGACUUGGGAAAGAGCGGAAACCAUGGCGGACAUAUCGUGCUGAGAUUGAGGUGAGGAAUAGAACAAAGGCUUGGUUGUGGGGUGGUCGUCUUCCUCUUCCGAUGAAAGAGGCCUCUUCUCACCUCUCCGACGCCUUAAUUCCGCCGUAGUACUGCACCUCAUCUCCUCCUUGCUCACGCCACUAAAACCUGCAGCCUCCAAUUCCUGGGUGUAUUCAAUCAUCAAAGCAAAACAUGCAUACAUAUACAGAUGGAGUUUCAAUUCAAUUUGCUUUCUCUUCUUCAAUAACAAGAUAUAUAGCAAGUUUAGCUUGUUUCUGAGGAAGAAGAAGAAGAGAGGAGGAGAAUUGAAGGCUGGCUAGGGAUUAGACUGCUCACUCACAGUUGUAAUUGGUGAUACACAUAUAUAUAGGGAUAGACUAGCGUUUAGAAAGAGAUCAGAGAGAGAGUGUGUGUGUGAAUAGGGAAAUUGUUUGUUGAAAGAAAUUUUGAUCAAUAAUAUAUUUGGUCUUGCAUACUA